rnacentral:rRNA from 1 species
GACGAACGCUGGCGGCGUGCUUAACACAUGCAAGUCGAGCGAGAAACCUUCGGGUUUCUAGCGGCGGACGGGUGAGUAACACGUGGGUAACCUGCCUCAAAGAGGGGGAUGGCCUUCCGAAAGGAAGAUUAAUACCGCAUAAUAUUACAGUUUCGCAUGAAGCAGUAAUUAAAGGAGUAAUCCGCUUUGAGAUGGACCCGCGGCGCAUUAGCUAGUUGGAGAGGUAACGGCUCACCAAGGCAACGAUGCGUAGCCGACCUGAGAGGGUGAUCGGCCACAUUGGAACUGAGACACGGUCCAGACUCCUACGGGAGGCAGCAGUGGGGAAUAUUGCACAAUGGGCGAAAGCCUGAUGCAGCAACGCCGCGUGAGUGAUGAAGGUCUUCGGAUUGUAAAGCUCUGUCUUUUGGGACGAUAAUGACGGUACCAAAGGAGGAAGCCACGGCUAACUACGUGCCAGCCGCCGCAGUAA